ACCAGAGUACUAUGAAUAGUUAGAAAUUUAAAACUCAAAGGACUUGGCGGUGUUUUAGACCUUUUAGGGGAACCUGUCUCAUAAUCGACAGUCCACGGUAUACCUGACCUCUUUUUGUUUUCAGCUUGUAUACCGUUGUCGUCAGGUAACUUUUUAGAAAUUAAAAGUUAGCAACAGAAAUUAAAGAUAAUUCGGUACGUCAAAUCAAGGUGCAGCUAAUAGAGGGGGGAGGAUGGGUUACAAUUAUAUAAUUAUAGCGGAUAGAUGUAUGAAGUUUACGUGAAUUAUAAGGUGGACUUAAAAGUAAAUUAGAAUAUAUAAAUAAUUUGAAUAAGGCUCUGAAACGUGU
rnacentral:rRNA from 2 species